GACGAACGCUGGCGGCGUGCUUAACACAUGCAAGUCGAACGGAAAGGCCCUGCUUUUGUGGGGUGCUCGAGUGGCGAACGGGUGAGUAACACGUGAGUAACCUGCCCUUGACUUUGGGAUAACUUCAGGAAACUGGGGCUAAUACCGGAUAGGAGCUCCUGCUGCAUGGUGGGGGUUGGAAAGUUUCGGCGGUUGGGGAUGGACGCGCGGCUUAUCAGCUUGUUGGUGGGGUAGUGGCUUACCAAGGCUUUGACGGGUAGCCGGCCUGAGAGGGUGACCGGCCACAUUGGGACUGAGAGGCGGCCCAGACUGCUACGGGAGGCAGCAGUGGGGAAUAUUGCACAAUGGGCGGAAGCCUGAUGCAGCAACGCCGCGUGCGGGAUGACGGCCUUCGGGUUGUAAACCGCUUUCGCCUGUGACGAAGCGUGAGUGACGGUAAUGGGUAAAGAAGCACCGGCUAACUACGUG
rnacentral:rRNA from 1 species